rfam:Gossypium raimondii chromosome 5, whole genome shotgun sequence.
AAACCAUGCAUUGGACAUUUCCAAAGCAAUUCCUUGAAUCUUUCCCAAGCUUCAUACAACGUCUCAUCCUCUGUUUGUCAAAAAUACGUGAUAUCAUUUCUAAGCUU